rnacentral:rRNA from 1 species
AAACUUGUAUACGGUGAGACUGCGAAUGGCUCAUUUAAACCGUUAUAGUUUAUUUGCUAGAGUUUAUAUGGAUAACCGUAGUUAUUUUAGAGGUAAUACAAAAUGAUACGCUGUGCGUAGUAUUUAUUAGAAAAAUGCCCACGGGGGAAAUCCUGUGGGGGAAUCAUAAUAACUUAGCGAAAUUUUUCGGAAGUGAAGCCUUCAAGUUUUUGCCCUAUCAGCUUUCGAUGGUAGUGUUUUGGACUACCCUGGCAAUGACGGGUGACGGAGAAUUAGGGUUUGAUUCCGGAGAGGGAGCCUGAGAAACGGGUUCCCCCUUUUAGGAAGGCAGCCGGCGGGCAAAUUACCCCAUCCUAAUUCAGGGAGGUAGUGACAAGAAAUAACAACGCGGGGGUUUUGUUUUGUGAUUUGAAAAAGGUAAGUGUUAAAUACUUUUCGAUUAUCAACUGGAGCGCAA